rnacentral:snRNA from 1 species
AUACUUACCUGGCAGGGGAGAUACCAUGAUCACGUAGGUGGUUUUCCCAGGGCGAGGCUUAUCCAUUGCACUCCGGAUGUGUUGACCCCUGCGAUUUCCCCAAAUGUGGGAAACUCAACUGUCUAAUUUGUGGUAGUGGGGGACUGUGUUCGCACUCUGCCCUG